rnacentral:rRNA from 1 species
GGGUUGUGAGGUUAAGCGACUAAGCGUACACGGUGGAUGCCCUGGCAGUCAGAGGCGAUGAAGGACGUGCUAAUCUGCGAUAAGCGUCGGUAAGGUGAUAUGAACCGUUAUAACCGGCGAUUUCCGAAUGGGGAAACCCAGUGUGAUUCGUCACACUAUCAUUAACUGAAUCCAUAGGUUAAUGAGGCGAACCGGGGGAACUGAAACAUCUAAGUACCCCGAGGAAAAGAAAUCAACCGAGAUUCCCCCAGUAGCGGCGAGCGAACGGGGAGGAGCCCAGAGCCUGAAUCAGUGUGUGUGUUAGUGGAAGCGUCUGGAAAGGCGCGCGAUACAGGGUGACAGCCCCGUACACAAAAAUGCACAUGCUGUGAGCUCGAUGAGUAGGGCGGGACACGUGGUAUCCUGUCUGAAUAUGGGGGGACCAUCCUCCAAGGCUAAAUACUCCUGACUGACCGAUAGUGAACCAGUACCGUGAGGGAAAGGCGAAAAGAACCCCGGCGAGGGGAGUGAAAAAGAACCUGAAACCGUGUACGUACAAGCAGUGGGAGCACAGAGCAAUCUGUGUGACUGCGUACCUUUUGUAUAAUGGGUCAGCGACUUAUAUUCUGUAGCAAGGUUAACCGAAUAGGGGAGCCGAAGGGAAACCGAGUCUUAACUGGGCGUUAAGUUGCAGGGUAUAGACCCGAAACCCGGUGAUCUAGCCAUGGGCAGGUUGAAGGUUGGGUAACACUAACUGGAGGACCGAACCGACUAAUGUUGAAAAAUUAGCGGAUGACUUGUGGCUGGGGGUGAAAGGCCAAUCAAACCGGGAGAUAGCUGGUUCUCCCCGAAAGCUAUUUAGGUAGCGCCUCGUGAAUUCAUCUCCGGGGGUAGAGCACUGUUUCGGCAAGGGGGUCAUCCCGACUUACCAACCCGAUGCAAACUGCGAAUACCGGAGAAUGUUAUCACGGGAGACACACGGCGGGUGCUAACGUCCGUCGUGAAGAGGGAAACAACCCAGACCGCCAGCUAAGGUCCCAAAGUCAUGGUUAAGUGGGAAACGAUGUGGGAAGGCCCAGACAGCCAGGAUGUUGGCUUAGAAGCAGCCAUCAUUUAAAGAAAGCGUAAUAGCUCACUGGUCGAGUCGGCCUGCGCGGAAGAUGUAACGGGGCUAAACCAUGCACCGAAGCUGCGGCAGCGACGCUUAUGCGUUGUUGGGUAGGGGAGCGUUCUGUAAGCCUGUGAAGGUGUACUGUGAGGUAUGCUGGAGGUAUCAGAAGUGCGAAUGCUGACAUAAGUAACGAUAAAGCGGGUGAAAAGCCCGCUCGCCGGAAGACCAAGGGUUCCUGUCCAACGUUAAUCGGGGCAGGGUGAGUCGACCCCUAAGGCGAGGCCGAAAGGCGUAGUCGAUGGGAAACAGGUUAAUAUUCCUGUACUUGGUGUUACUGCGAAGGGGGGACGGAGAAGGCUAUGUUGGCCGGGCGACGGUUGUCCCGGUUUAAGCGUGUAGGCUGGUUUUCCAGGCAAAUCCGGAAAAUCAAGGCUGAGGCGUGAUGACGAGGCACUACGGUGCUGAAGCAACAAAUGCCCUGCUUCCAGGAAAAGCCUCUAAGCAUCAGGUAACAUCAAAUCGUACCCCAAACCGACACAGGUGGUCAGGUAGAGAAUACCAAGGCGCUUGAGAGAACUCGGGUGAAGGAACUAGGCAAAAUGGUGCCGUAACUUCGGGAGAAGGCACGCUGAUAUGUAGGUGAAGUCCCUCGCGGAUGGAGCUGAAAUCAGUCGAAGAUACCAGCUGGCUGCAACUGUUUAUUAAAAACACAGCACUGUGCAAACACGAAAGUGGACGUAUACGGUGUGACGCCUGCCCGGUGCCGGAAGGUUAAUUGAUGGGGUUAGCGCAAGCGAAGCUCUUGAUCGAAGCCCCGGUAAACGGCGGCCGUAACUAUAACGGUCCUAAGGUAGCGAAAUUCCUUGUCGGGUAAGUUCCGACCUGCACGAAUGGCGUAAUGAUGGCCAGGCUGUCUCCACCCGAGACUCAGUGAAAUUGAACUCGCUGUGAAGAUGCAGUGUACCCGCGGCAAGACGGAAAGACCCCGUGAACCUUUACUAUAGCUUGACACUGAACAUUGAGCCUUGAUGUGUAGGAUAGGUGGGAGGCUUUGAAGUGUGGACGCCAGUCUGCAUGGAGCCGACCUUGAAAUACCACCCUUUAAUGUUUGAUGUUCUAACGUUGACCCGUAAUCCGGGUUGCGGACAGUGUCUGGUGGGUAGUUUGACUGGGGCGGUCUCCUCCUAAAGAGUAACGGAGGAGCACGAAGGUUGGCUAAUCCUGGUCGGACAUCAGGAGGUUAGUGCAAUGGCAUAAGCCAGCUUGACUGCGAGCGUGACGGCGCGAGCAGGUGCGAAAGCAGGUCAUAGUGAUCCGGUGGUUCUGAAUGGAAGGGCCAUCGCUCAACGGAUAAAAGGUACUCCGGGGAUAACAGGCUGAUACCGCCCAAGAGUUCAUAUCGACGGCGGUGUUUGGCACCUCGAUGUCGGCUCAUCACAUCCUGGGGCUGAAGUAGGUCCCAAGGGUAUGGCUGUUCGCCAUUUAAAGUGGUACGCGAGCUGGGUUUAGAACGUCGUGAGACAGUUCGGUCCCUAUCUGCCGUGGGCGCUGGAGAACUGAGGGGGGCUGCUCCUAGUACGAGAGGACCGGAGUGGACGCAUCACUGGUGUUCGGGUUGUCAUGCCAAUGGCACUGCCCGGUAGCUAAAUGCGGAAGAGAUAAGUGCUGAAAGCAUCUAAGCACGAAACUUGCCCCGAGAUGAGUUCUCCCUGACUCCUUGAGAGUCCUGAAGGAACGUUGAAGACGACGACGUUGAUAGGCCGGGUGUGUAAGCGCAGCGAUGCGUUGAGCUAACCGGUACUAAUGAACCGUGAGGCUUAACCUUACAACGCCGAAG